rnacentral:lncRNA from 1 species
GGGAUCGGAGACCAGGGGUCUGCAGAAGGCCCCCAGGAGGAGCCACUGGCCUCUGUGUUCAGCCUAAAACCUGAAAUGGGAACAGCAUAGACAUGAUCCCAGGCCCACCCUUAUCCCUCGCCCAGGGCCCUUCCCAGUUACCCAGCCCAAGUUGGGAGGCAGAAGAUCCAUGUCACAGAUGGCCUGCGGCCUCAGGACCACCCAGCAGGCUGGAGCCCCUAUUUGGCAAGUGACCCCAGGAACUGGGACCUGCAGGUGUGGGCGACUCAGGCCACCUUCCCAGGCGUGCUGAGCAAAGUACCUGAUUUUCAUAACAACCCUGUGAGGCUCUCUGUCCCGCUGACGGUGGACCAUGGCCCCUGCACCAUUGGCCAUGGGGGAGCCAUCACCCCGCCAGGACCUCACCUCCUGCAGAAGGCACAGAAAGAGUUAGGAGCAUGAGCAGGUCAGGCGGGAAUCCGGGGACCUGUGCACCGGAGGCUGGAGUCGAGAGAGUGCAGGGUGGGAGGCAGCUGAGAGGUUAGGAGCAGCAGGGCCACCGGGUACAGCGGGAGGAGCCUGUUAGUGCCCUGAAGCACCUCCACCAGCAGCAGCAGCAGCACCGGCAGCCCAGCGGGCUCGGCCCACUACCUUCUCGUGCUCCUGCCGGCUCAGGCGCAGAGCCAGCUGCAGCUGCAGGUCCUCGUCCCUGUGGGAGGCUGGGGGGACAGGCUGCGGAGGAAGAGAGGGGUAAACUUGGCCCUGUACCCCCACCUUGGGACCAGAAGGGCAGUAUAGGCCUGCCUGGGUCAUGGGGAUGGAGACACUAAUGCCCACCCUCAGUGUGCAUGGGCCAUUUGCCCCUUAGUCGGCAGGGUGGGCGUGGCCUUCUCCCUGCCUGCAUCUGAAAUGCAGUUUAAAGGUCAGGAAGACUGAUCUUUCGCUUCUGAAUCCUCUGAGAGUUCCUCAGGCCCUCCUGUCUGA